rnacentral:lncRNA from 1 species
UAUGGACACGUUCGCAUGACACAAUUUUUGAUGCGCCAAAGGAAAUGAAUAUACGUACGCGUAAUUUGUUUCUUUAAUUACAAAUGAUUCAAGUGAUUUGAAUGAGGUAAAAAGAUAAAUACACAUAGGUCCUAUAAAUAAGUAGUUAAAACAUUAAGCAAAGUACGAUCAAAGCGACCAUGCUAGAACCACGAAACUCGGGAGUGCCUAAAACCUUCUCCCGACAUAAUUCCUUACCCGGAUUUUUGGUCGCAGACUGUAAUAUAGAGUCAAUCUUUUCCUCGAUUCGGGAUUUGAACCGGUGACUUGGGACACCAUUAAUCUCCCAAUUGGCAACUCUGAAUUUUUAGUAAAAAAUAAAUCCCGAUUCGAUUGUCCUUUAAUUGGAAAAACUCCCUUCUACGCCCUUCGCGGGGUGUAGUGUAAAAAGGAGGUGUGACAGCUCUGGCGACUCUUCUGGGGAUCGAACCAAAAAUCUCUGGUUUCACAAGGUUCAAGAAUUCGAGCUUGUUUUAUGAUUUUUACUUGGCUUUAUUUAUUGUU